CUCAUGUGCCCAGUAAAGCUGUGAGAAGCUCUGUGGACAUGGCGGCUGGAGUUUGUGUAGUGCAGUGUGGCUCAGUGAGUCCGUUCAGAGAGGAUUUCAGCAGCUCGCCCAUCAGGGUUGAGGAGCAGGCUAUCCUUAUUUUAUAGAAGAGGGAGUCUCAGCCUGAGCCCACUGUGCACUGCUUGUCAAGAUGAGGACACGGGACAAGGCACUUUACUCUGUAACUAAGUUCCCAGGUGGAAGACACAGUGAUUGUGGUACUUGCAUGGAAUCUUUCAACCGAGGAGAACCAGGGCAGCCUUGCUGGGAGGCCUUCCUGCCUGACCUUCACCUGGUGGGGUGAGAUCUGGCCUUUUUAGUCAAAGGAAAAUUCCCAUCGCCUGAGGGGGUCAAGAGGCCUGCAAGUGGCCUCUGGCUUGGACAAGGAACUGCUCAGCAGGCCAAGGCCUAGGCUUAUCUCAGAGCCAUGGUUUGUCGGAAAGGGGUCUUCCCAAUGGUGCUGGGCAGCUCAGGGGACCCAGCUCCAUCCAGGCCCCCACUUCCCUCCUCUUAGGUGGUGGU
rnacentral:lncRNA from 1 species